rnacentral:tRNA from 1 species
GCGUCCGUAGCUCAGCUGGAUAGAGCAACAGCCUUCUAAGCUGUGGGUCGCAGGUUCGAAUCCUGCCGGACGCGCCA